CCAAGGCUAAAUACUACCUGUCGACCGAUAGUGAACUAGUACCGUGAGGGAAAGGCGAAAAGAACCCCGGUUAGGGGAGUGAAAUAGANCCUGAAACCGCNUGCGUACAAGCAGUGGGAGCAUCANUACGAUGUGACNGCGUACCUUUUGUAUAAUGGGUCAGCGACUUACUUCUCAGUGGCNAGCUUAACCGNNUAGGGNAGGCGUAGGGAAACCGAGUCUNAAUAGGGCGUCAUGAGUCNCUGGGAGUAGACCCGAAACCGAGCGAUCUAUCCAUGGCCAGGGUGAAGGUAGGGUAAUNCCUACUGGAGGCCCGAACCCACUAAUGUUGAAAAAUUAGGGGAUGAGCUGUGGAUAGGAGUGAAAGGCUAAUCAAGCUCGGAGAUAGCUGGUUCUCCUCGAAAGCUAUUUAGGUAGCGCCUCGUGUNUCACUCUNGGGGGUAGAGCACUGUUAUGGCUAGGGGGCUUUCACGAGCUUACCAANCCAUUGCAAACUCCGAAUACCNAGAAGUGCAAUCACGGGAGACACACGGCGGGUGAUAAGGUCCGUCGUGGAAAGGGAAAGAGCCCAGACCGCCAGCUAAGGUCCCAAAAUCAUNNNUNAGUUGUAAACGAUGUGGGAAGGCAUAGACAGCCAGGAGGUUGGCUUAGAAGCAGCCANCCUUUAAAGAAAGCGUAAUAGCUCACUGGUCGAGUCGGCCUGCGCGGAAGAUUUAACGGGGAUAAAUCAUGUACCGAAGCUGCGGAUGCAGUUUACUGCAUGGUAGAGGAGCGUUCCGUAAGCCGCUGAAGGUANCCUGUAAGGGUUGCUGGAGGUAUCGGAAGUGCGAAUGCUGACAUGAGUAGCGAUAAUGCGGGUGAAAAACCCGCACGCCGAAAGCCCAAGGUUUCCCACGCAACGCUAAUCGGCGUGGGGUGAGUCGGUCCCUAAGGUGAGGCAGAAAUGCGUAGCCGAUGGGAAACAGGUUAAUAUUCCUGUACCUUUUUUAACUGCGAUGGGGUGACGGAGAAGGUUAGGUCGGCCGGGUGUUGGACGUCCCGGUUUAAGCACGUAGAAAUCUUCCUUUGGAAAAUCCGGGGGAGUUUAUUUUGAGGUGUUAUGACGAGUACCAAUUUAUUGGAACGAAGCGAUUGAUACCAUGCUUCCAAGAAAACCCUCUAAGCUUCAGGUUAUAAAAGACCGUACCCUAAACCAACACAGGUGGGCAGGGAGAGUAUCCUAAGGCGUUUGAGAUAACUCUGGUGAAGGAACUAGGCAAAAUAGCACCGUAACUUCGGGAGAAGGUGUGCCCUUUGUAUGUGAAAAGCUUCGCGCUUGGAGCAGAAGAGGGUUGCAGUGACCAGGUGGCUGCGACUGUUUACUAAAAACACAGCACUCUGCAAACUCGAAAGAGGACGUAUAGGGUGUGACGCCUGCCCGGUGCCGGAAGGUUAAUUGAUGGGGUCAGUCUUCGGACGAAGCUCUUGAUCGAAGCCCCGGUAAACGGCGGCCGUAACAAUAACGGUCCUAAGGUAGCGAAAUUCCUUGUCGGGUAAGUUCCGAC
rnacentral:rRNA from 1 species